GCCAACAGCGCCAAGUAAUAUAUGAACUAAAUGGUGAUAUUUGAGGUAUAUUGACAAUAUAACUGAAUGGGAUUUCGUAAUUAAAACAUUUUAUUUUUGGUUUUAAUAAAUUAUAUGAAUAUAUAAAACAAGUGAAAAGUUCCAUUUAUUCUUAUUAUAUAGUUUUAUUAGUUCAGCUAAAAACAACCACAAAUAAAACAUAGAAUUAAUUAUUAAAAAGGGAUUCUAAUCAAUCAGCCAUGAAAUAUUAUUAGAUACAUAGAUUAUAAUCAAAGGCAGAAAUUUAGUCCUUGUUAAAAAUGUAAGGGAUGUUGAAGAACAUUGGAAAAUAAUGAAAAUUAUCUUAUCAAAUCGCGUGUUAUCAGAUAAGCAUUGGUCCAUGCAACACCUUACACUACAUCAUUAAAUAUAAAUGCGACAUUGAUGUUUAAUAUAAUUGCGUUUACAACCAAAGUAAAAAGUGCAAACAUAUUGCUGCAUUGAUUUACUUUAUUAAAAAUGAAGAAAGUGCAUCAAAAACAAAUAAUGAGCAACAGUGAGGGAAACAGACAAUUUGCACGACAAUUUGCCAAAAAAAAAUAUUCUAAAGAAGAAUAUUUCGAAAAAAUGGCACCUCAUAAACGUACAACUACAUGAGUCUUAAGAAGUGUAUAUUUCUGAAUUAAUUGCAAAUUUUUCAUUGAAACAGAUUUUAAAAUCCAAAAUAGAAAAAACAAAUAUUCAUAUAGUAAAAAAUAUUAUGAAUUCGUUACUGAUGCAAGUGGAAAUUAAUUUAGAAAAAGAAGAUUGUGCCGAAUGCGUUAAUAAUUUUUUAAUUUUCGGUAAAGACCAUUUAAUUUAUAAAUGUGAUUAUGAACUGGAUAUGAAUCUAAGAAAUUUUUAUGUUAAAAAUAUUAUCUAUAUAAAUUAUUAUUACUGUCUGAGAAAAACGUCGUUAAUUUAAGCUGUAAAACUUUAGGACAAUCUUCUUGUAAUGAACGGUACAAAUCUACGACUUCUUGCUAGUACAAAUAUGCACAGUAUUAAAAUGCGGUCAAAAAAAACUAUCGACAGUCUGGUAUCAGAUAUUUUAUACCCUAAAAAAAUUAAUUGUGCUUCUACCAGAUAUAGUUUAAUACAUGAAUGUCAUGCCAAAGAAAAAUAUGAACUACUUUAUAAUUGCAUUGUAAAAUGUGUUGGUGUAGUUGUUCGUAAAUUUUAAACUUGACUUUGUGCGAGUCUUGAUGAUAUUGUCAUAGAAGAUGGAUGCAUUUCGAAACUAGUAAAAUGUUUUGCUAAUACGUUUAUAAUUCACAAUACAGCAACUCCGGGGCUUAUUUCUUUUGAUUAUUUAAAGAAAAAAAUUAAAAUCAACACGUAUAUAUAAUUCACUAAAAGUACAAAAUAUCCCCCUGAAGUACUUGACUUAUCUAUGAAUUGAAGUUUUUCGUAGAUGAAAUGCAUCACUGGCAAUUAGACGCCAAUGUAAUCGAGCGGCACCUUAUAAAUGCUCGGUAAUAAAUUUUUCUGUUUCAUAGAUCUGGUGUUGAUGCAUAUGUGAACAACUUCGGUAAUUCGCAAGUUUAUUUGAUGCCAAUUUUGCCAGGAGUUCCAUGAAAUGUAUUCACGUGACAAUGGAAAUCCUUUCGUUUGGAACAAGCAACGCCAGGACUCAACAAAUAUUAUUAAUUAAUAUAUGAUUUACUGAUACGUAAAUUGCAACACAUGAUUGAUAAAUAGUAUAUCCAUAAUCAUAUAUAUAUAAAGAAAUACUAUUCAAAAAAAAGUACUAUUUUGAUAGAAAAACAACGUGUAUCAAACUUGUUAUUAGAAGAAGGAAGAAGAAAAGGAUAAUAAAAAAACAAUAUAUAAUCAGCGCUGUUGAACCUGUCGAAGUCUCUCAAUCGAUAUAUAUCGAGUUUUUCAAUGUAGUGAACAAAAUUCAAAUGGAUUUCGUGGUUUAAAGAAACAAAUCCUCAUGAGGAUUAACAGCUUUUUCAUAUCGGGCGUGGAUUAGACAAGAAUUGAUAAAUAAUUUUGACGUUGCAAGAGGAUCACUUUUCUAAUCUAUUAUGAAGCGAUGAUGAUAUUAGUAAAUUUAAAAAUGAACAACCAUUUGAAUCAAAAGACGAAACAGAUGCUGAUCGACGUAUAUCCUAGGUAAAUACUUACGUUGGAUUUGAUGCGAACUAAGAACACGCGUACGAAUGAACAGUGGAUAGAAAAAGAAACCGAAGCAUUACGUUGAAGCUGUUAGAUAAUUCUCCAGUGAUGUUUGUAAACAAGCUUAUAAGUGGUUUGGAUUCCUAUUUUUCUCUUCAAUACGUGAAAAUACUUCAGAAGCUAACGAAAUACGAUACGACGAUAAUUUGCACAAUCCGUCAACCUAACUUGUCUAUUUACGAGAUAUUCGAUCAUAUUUACUUGCUAACCGAUGAAUGUUACAUAUAGAGGGUAGUAAUUAAAAAUACAAUCAACUAUUUCUCUAAUCUUGGUCUGCACUGUCUAAAAUAUCAUAAUCCUACGGACUAUAUGAUAGAGAUUAUUAGCAACGAAUAUAGAAACUUCAAAGAUCAAUUUGUAGGUAUACAGAUAGAGGAUAACAAAACGAUCUGGGAGUAAAUGCGCUCAGAGAAAUUGUUGAUAAUCGAAAAGAAAAGCCUUCGACAUUGAAUAUCAUAAUCCUGUGGAUUUUUCAUAAUUCAUUACAAUCACUUAUUUCUUAUUUCAGUCGAUCGUUGAAGUUUCCGUAUUCGUUGUUAACGAUUUCUAUCAUAUAAUUCACGGGAUUAUGAUAUUUUGAACAAUGCAGAUCUAAAUUAGCAAAGUAAUCGAUUGUGUUUUUAGCUGCUUCCUCGUAUAUGCACCGUCCGUCGACUAGCAAGUAAAUGUGAUCGAAUAUCACGAAUAUAGCUGUCCUAAUGUAAGCUGAUAGAUGUGCAGAUUAUCAUUCUAUCGCCUAUUGUUAACUUCUAUAGCAUUUUUACACAGUGAAAAG